rnacentral:rRNA from 1 species
GAGAGUAUAUAUUUAUUAAAAUUAUAAAUUUAUUAUUUAUUAAAUAAAAUAAUUAUAUUUUUAUUAUUUAUUAAGAAAAAAUUUUUUUAAUUAUAGUGAAAAGUAUUGAGAAAGAAAAUUAUUAUUUAUGGAAAAGAAAAAUUUAAAUUUUGUACCUUGUGCAUCAGGGUUGAUUAAAAAAUAAUUUUAUAUAAAAUAUUCUCGAAUUUAAAAGAGCUAAUUAAUUAUAUAUUUUAUUGUGAAAUAAAUAUUUAAAAUAUUUAAUUAGAAAUGAAACGUUAUUCGUUUUUAAAUUUAUCUAGUUUUUAAAUAAAUAAAUUUAAUUUAGCUAUUUUUUAUUAAAAAUUUAAUUUAUUAAGUUUUUAUAAAAAAUAAGUAAUUUUUUUGGGGAAAAGCUUGAAAAAAAAAUAUUAUAAUAAAAUUAAUAUUUUAAUAAUUUAUAGGAUUAUAAUUUUCUAUUAAUAAAAAAAUGUUAUAAUUAAUUAUUAAAAAAAUAUUAUUUAUAUUUUAUUUAAAUUUUAUAUUUAAAUAUAUUUUAAAAUUAUUAAAAAAUAGUAAUAAUGAUUAAAUUAGUAUAAAUUAAUGUAUAAUUAAAUUUAUAAUAAAGGUAAAUUUAAGGAAUUCGGCAAAUAUAUUUUUCACCUGUUUAUUAAAAACAUGUCCUUUUGAUUAUAAUUUAAGGUCUAAUCUGCCCACUGAGGAUUUAAAUGGCCGCGGUAUUUUGACCGUGCAAAGGUAGCAUAAUAAUUAGUUUCUUAAUUAGAAGCUGGAAUGAAAGAUUGAAUGAGAAAAUAACUGUCUCAAGUUUAUUUAAUUAGAAUUUUAUUUUUAAGUUAAAAAGCUUAAAUAAAUUUAAAAGACGAGAAGACCCUAUAGAGUUUUAUUUAAGUUUUAAUUAAUAAAAAAUUGAUUUUAAAUUUUUUAAUUGAAAUUUAAAUUUUGUUGGGGUGAUAGAAAAAUUAAAUAAACUUUUUUUAUAUUAAAACACUAAUUA